rnacentral:rRNA from 1 species
AGAGUUUGAUCCUGGCUCAGAAUCAACGCUGGCGGCGCGCCUAACACAUGCAAGUCGAACGAGAAAGGGGAGCAAUCCCUGAGUACAGUGGCGUACGGGUGAGUAACACGUGGAUGAUCUACCCCUUAGUUUGGAAUAACCCUGGGAAACCGGGGCUAAUACCGGAUAAGCUCGAGAGAGGAAAGCAGCAAUGCGCUGAGGGAGGAGUCCGCGGCCGAUUAGCUAGUUGGUGAGGUAAAGGCUCACCAAGGCAAAGAUCGGUAGCCGGCCUGAAAGGGCACACGGCCACACUGGCACUGAAACACGGGCCAGACUCCUACGGGAGGCAGCAGUGGGGAAUCUUGCACAAUGGGGGAAACCCUGAUGCAGCGACGCCGCGUGAGCGAUGAAGCCCUUCGGGGUGUAAAGCUCUUUCGGCAGGGAAGAUAGUGACGGUACCUGCAGAAGCAGCUGCGGCUAACUACGUGCCAGCAGCCGCGGUAAUACGUAGGCAGCAAGCGUUGUUCGGAGUUACUGGGCGUAAAGGGUGUGUAGGCGGUUGUUUAAGUUUGGUGUGAAAUCUCCCGGCUCAACUGGGAGGGUGCGCCGAAUACUGAAUGACUCGAGUGCGGGAGAGGAAAGUGGAAUUCCUGGUGUAGCGGUGAAAUGCGUAGAUAUCAGGAGGAACACCGGUGGUGUAGACGGCUUUCUGGACCGUAACUGACGCUGAGACACGAAAGC